GCUGCAACCAUCUUGACUUGGACUCAACCACUGCACUGUCGCCUGAGGCUGCCCAGUGUAGUCCUCCACGACGGCCGUCCAUAGAGCAAGGAAGCUCUGCCCUUCGUGCGUGAGAGCUUUCGAUGGUUAUGUGUGUGCAGAGCCACGAUUCUGCCUGCGACGAUCCGUGAGGCCUCCCCUCUCCCUCCGCCGCCAUGUUUCCUCGGACGCCUCUUCAGGCGCGUCGCCCCCACCUGGGCUGACCCCGCCAGGACUUCUCCGCGGUUUGCGGGGCUCUGGGGGGCGCGCGCAGCCAGCAUCCGCGGCGCUCUCCGUGCUCUUGGGGACUCCCGGGCGCCGCCCACCGUCGUGUGACUCCGGCUAAGCGUCAGGGAGCUGAGCCCGAUCCCACACGCUAGGAUAAAAUAGCGAACGAAAACGGGGCCGAAGUGGAGUACAGCGAUGUAUCAUCAUCCCUUCUCUGUCCCCUCGGGCGCGACUGAGUCUGACCACGUUCUCGGCCCCUUCGAAAACCUCGUCCAAAAAAGCUUAGUCUCAGCGUCCCUGGUCCCUAGUCCCCAGCUUCAGCCACCCACCCCAUCUGACACUGGUGUGAAGAGAAGGGAGUGCAUCCUGAGACCUGGACUUGUAGGUGGGUGCCAAAAAUUCUCCAUAGAAAAUCUUGGCUAAAAUCUCCGUUUCCUUGGCUUAUGAGCUAGGCACCGCUCUAGAUGCUAGAGGUCGCGGAAAAAAGACAGCUUCCUCCUUAGAGCUCACUGUCCAGUGGGAGAGUGCAGAAAUAAAUAGUAAUUACAGUGAAAUGUCCCAUAACAGAGAUGCCCACCAAGUCAUCCAGCAGUUGAUGACCCCUUUUAGGCAGGGAAGAUGUUGCCAUUCACCUUCUCCAAAGGAUGAAACCAUGGCUCAGAGGGACAGGCUGAGCGGGUGGGAAACUGAGGUACAGAGAGGUUAAGUUUUUUGCGCAUCACACAGCUAUUGGAUGAAGGGCAGUACUAGAGCUCAGCAAGCAUGCUGCUGCAAUAGCCUUGUACCCAUUUCUGAAAGUUAUGUGAAACUGUAGGAUAGCCAGCCUCUCUCAAACUUUCAAUAACUGGAUCAAGAGAAAUUGACUGGGACGUAACAGAAAAAACAAAAACAAACAAAACCCCUUGCAAACAGGGAAGUUUGUUAACCACUGGAAUAGUUCAUUAAGGGAGUAUCAUGGACAGUUUCUGGAAAGAUAAAACAAAAAAAUAGAGGAGUGUUUGAUUGAACUUGGGAUGGACAGUUUAUUCCGAGAAACAGAUGAAAGGUGGUGUCCCUUUGGAGGCCCUGCCAGUCUGAUGGAUGGAUUCUUGGCUGGUAAAGAGAGAUCAGAGAAUCAUGGGAAAGCUAGCAGUGAUUCUCACUGGGCAGGAAAAUAGAAGAGGACAUCUCUAACAACCAAUACCUUGGGACAGUUUCAGAAAGUUCCAUAUGCCUCUGGAAGAGGCUGAUCGCUUGAAAGUCAUUUUUGUAGUGCUUAAUUGGCCAAAUAGGUAAACCUGGCAUCUUGAGCAUAAACCUUAUCAAAAAAAUGGUGGGAGAUGAGUGCUAAGUAUUCCAUAGUAAUUGACUUUUAGAGUCUUUUGAUAACUCUUCAUUUGAUCUUUAGUAUAACCUCUUGAGUCAGGCAGGCUAGAAAGUAUUCUCCCCAUUGUACAACCAAUGUGCUGUGUUAUCAGAGCCCUUACAGCUGGGGAGUGACAGAGCCACUUGAACCCAUGUCUUCUUGCUGCACUUUCUACACUAUUCUAUACUCCCUCUUAAAAAAAAAUACACCCAUAGGCUUUUUACCUGUUGGACCAUAACCUAGAUAACCCAGCCUUGGAGAACUUAGAGGUUCUAGGCUUGGCAGAUUUGCAGGAUUAUAGAUGUGACCAGUCUCCAACCCCGUACUCAUCAGCUCCAUCACUAUAUCCCUAAUCAACUUCUUUUUGUCUUCCUCCAGUGCCUGAACUACUCCCUUUCCAGACCCUAACCUUGUCCAGGUUGCUCUCCAGGUAAAAGUGUGCCCUUUGAGCUGUCUUUGGAGCACUCCCAUCUCACUGUUUGCUUUUCCCUUUUUUAGGGCCCUUUUUUCUCCUUAAAUAUUUUAUGGUUAUGGGUUUAGUGAAAAUGGAGGAACGACUCUCACAUAGCAAACUGCAGGACAUCGGAGAGACACAGCCUCAUGGAUUCAUAGAGCUAGAAGCCACCAGGCCAUCUCAGUUGUCUUGUUUCAGAGAUUCUAAAAAAAUAAGACCAGAACGAUGGUGAAAAUGGAAUGAAUAAAUGGAAGAAGCUGUAAGCAAUGAAGGCAACCCAAACAAAAGAGUCUUCUCAGGACAGUGUUUAUCAACGUUUUAACUACAACCCACAGUAAGAAAUAAGUUUUUAUUAUGACUUAGUACACUUAGGCGGAUAUACAUUUUAUAAAAUAAGAGAUGCCCUCUAAGGUUUUCGAUAUUUUUUCCCUUCCCUUUUUUUUUUUUUUUUUUUGUCUUUCUGUCUUCCUUUUGGGGAUCCACCAAAUUGACCCAAAGUUUAUUCAAAUCCCUUUUAUCAUGAGAUCCCUUAUUGAGAACCUACGACAAGAGAUUCACAGAAAGGCCUUUGAGAGCCUAGCCUGGCUUACACAGAGCACCCUCAGAACCUCCUGGGGGUUCCAAGGCUUUGGAGGAUUCUACCUCCCAGGCCCCAGUGUCAGGGUUAAGUCACUGAGGCAUUGUGGAUCCACACAGUAUUUACCCCUGUGGCCUAACUCAGCUGUUAUCCUACCACGCUCCUGUAUUUUCCAGCUUGUUGGUGGGUGGGUGGGGGGAUGUUCUUUUAGCCUCAGGAAGCUUUAUGGCAUCUCAGAAAUCCUGACUGCCCCAGAACAGGACAGUUGUGAGGGACUUAUUGCAAACGCCACAAGAAGUGAGUGUCCACAGACUCAGCUUGCCCCAGAAAGAGUAAGGCACCAUUGUUUAUUCAAUCCAAGUCCAUUUGGCUCCAGGGCUCCAUUCCCAGUAGCCCAGCUCAGUCUCCAUCCUCGGGGCUUUUGGCACUUGCCUUUCCCACCUGCUCCCACAUCCUUGAGCCCUAGGCUGCCAGCCUGCUGGCCCGCACACCAUGUCUGCUGGCAUGGUAAAGCAGAGCCUAGGGGCCGGACGAAGGAAGGUGUAGACUCCCACCUGCGUCUCCAAGCAGAGGCAGCUCAGAGCCCUCCCAGGCUCCCAGGUAUUUGCUGGGCUCCCAUCCAAACCCCAGCAGACAAUGAUGAGUCUUCAAGCCCCAACCCCAACCAUAGAGACCAACAGAAUAAACUAGGGGCUCAGGGUCCUUUCCCAUCUACAAGGACCCUUAGCUUUUUAGUUUUGCAGCAACUACAAUCACUCUAGGAGGAGGCGAAGUGACCCUGUCCCCUAGCCCUUGGGGAUUUCCUAUUUUGCUCCUCUAGGGAGGAGGAUCUUGUGGGAGAGCCUGGUGAGGGAGGCAAAUGGAGAGGCUCUGUGUUGUGGGAGUAGGUAUCCCGGGAGCAGGUGAGAGUACCAUUAAUGUCACAUUGCUGAGAGUGCCGUUAGUGUCACAUCGCUCCUGGAGAGGUCAGUCGGGAAAGGCUAUUUUCACAAGAAGCUCUCUUGCCCCAGAGGAGAGUCACCACAGAAGGCAAUUAUGCAAUGAUCUCCUUUUCUUCAUACCAGUGAACAGAAGCCUCGCAAGCCUCAUCCUAGGCCUGCCUGCUUCCUUCUCCAGAAGAGCAGGAAGGACAUUCCGUAAGCAGCCCAGGAAUGCAUUAAACAACUCUUCCCUGGGGCCUCAACUCCAGAAAUAUGUGGCUGUUGACAGCUCUUCCCCUUGCCUUUGGCCUCUGGCCUGAGCAUGUGGAACAAACACCGCCGAGUGUGGAUGCCCCUCUCUUUGCAUUUGCCUAAUUGUCCUAUGUCUUUAAAGAUGUCACCAUCAUUUAGAUUGGUGUUUCUGGUGUCUAUCUCCACUUCCAAGAGGGUUUACCCCAGACUAAAUUACAGCGGUGUUGUGUUGCUUUGUAUUAUCCACAUGUUUUACAGCCAAGACCUGGUCUCUAAACAUUUUGAUUGAUUGUAAAAUCUUAUUG
rnacentral:lncRNA from 1 species